rnacentral:rRNA from 1 species
UGGGGAAUAUUGCACAAUGGGCGCAAGCCUGAUGCAGCCAUGCCGCGUGUGUGAAGAAGGCCUUCGGGUUGUAAAGCACUUUCAGCGAGGAGGAAGGUGGUGAACUUAAUACGUUCAUCAAUUGACGUUACUCGCAGAAGAAGCACCGGCUAACUCCGUGCCAGCAGCCGCGGUAAUACGGAGGGUGCAAGCGUUAAUCGGAAUUACUGGGCGUAAAGCGCACGCAGGCGGUUUGUUAAGUCAGAUGUGAAAUCCCCGGGCUCAACCUGGGAACUGCAUUUGAAACUGGCAAGCUAGAGUCUCGUAGAGGGGGGUAGAAUUCCAGGUGUAGCGGUGAAAUGCGUAGAGAUCUGGAGGAAUACCGGUGGCGAAGGCGGCCCCCCUGGACGAAGACUGACGCUCAGGUGCGAAAGCGUGGGGAGCAAACAGGAUUAGAUACCCCUGGUAGUCCACGCUGUAAAACGAUGUCGAUUUUGGAGGUUGUGCCCUUGAGGCGUGGNUUCCGGAGCUAACGCGUUAAAUCGACCGCCUGGGGAGUACGGCCCAAGGUUAAAACUU